rnacentral:misc_RNA from 1 species
GGAAUAAAGAAUGGAAGAGGUUGAAGAGAAAAUAUAAUAAAAAUCUUAGUAUCUUAAAAGAAGAAGAAUAUUUUGAAGACAUUGCCUCGAAAAGCAUUUCUUAUAAUUUCAAUACCAAAUAUUGCAAUGAAGAACAACAAGUUGCAAAUGAAGAUUAUGAUACUGAUAAUAACAAUGAAUAUUAUGACGAUUAUGAUUGUAGAAGCAAGAACAACCAAUUUAACACAAAAAGUAAUCCAUUAGAAAAUACAGAUAGAGUACAAGUAUAUUCUUUACUUAGAGACAAAGAAGAAAGUGUAUAUGAAGCUGAUAAUGCUUCACACAUUACAAAUUGUGGAGAAUUUUUAAGCCAUUUUGAGUGCCAAACAUUACAAAAUCACAAUAAUAGCAUUUUUCAUUGGGAUGCACUGAGUGCGCAUUAGGAACUCGUGGAGUUUAGGCAACACUAUCCGAGUUUACCGACAGUACAAGUUUUUUUGCACGCCCAAUGAAACACUCAUGACUUGAUGAGUGCGCAUAAGAACCGAUUCGCCUCGGAUUGAAAGAAAAUAUAUGCAUUAACGUAAACUUCACUAUGGAACAAUCAGAAGAAUUAAGCAUUUCUUUCAAAGUCAAUAAUGACAUGCUCUCGUUAAAACUUCUAUCAAGUGAAACAGAGUUAUACAAUAAAUUAAUGAAUGACGAUACCUACAGCAUACAAUAUAUAAAACUUGUGAUUAAAAAUGGAUUGUGUGUUCUACAUGGAAGCGAAAAUCAGAAAAUUGAAGAAAUAUCUCGAGUGAUUGAAGAUGAAGAACAAUUGAUAUUCCACGCGAAUAUUCAUGGUGAUAAUCGCAGCAAUGAAGAUCAGCUAUCGGAGUAUAAUAAAGAAAAUGAAGCACUCAUGUUUGAAUCCUUUGAAUCACAGGAGUAUGAUCAGAAUGAAUCACAAUCGCAGGAGUACGAUAAAAAAGGAAAGAAGAGUAGCGAUUACUGGAGCAAUUCAGGAACAUCGUUUCUUCUCGAUAAAUAUGAAACAUAUAUGUCGGAUAUUGGUCCCAUGAAAAAAUUCAAAACUAAAAAAUUGAUGUGGGUGCAAAUUUCAAGAGAUAUGCUGACGAUGUUGGACGUAUUAAAAACUCCUCUUCAAGUUGAAAAUCGGUAUAAAACCGUUCUCAAAAGGAAAAAAAAAAGCAGUUGAGAACAACUCUAAAUCAGGCAGCUCUAGAGAGGAUGUACCAUUCGAAGAAGAAUUGCGUAAAAUUGCUCAUUCGGACGAUAGUAUUGAGCCCGAGGUGUUGCGAAAUGCAAGGAGCGUUAAAUAUCCUAAAUUGAAUACAAGAAAUCUGCAAUGAUAGUGCCUCUACACAUUCUACUGAUAGCUUACCACCGAAGACAAAAAAAUCGAAACCAAGUGAUAUUGAUAAAAGAAUGGAAUACUGGAAAAAUAAAGAAGCGGCAAAAGAAAGACGUCACCAAGAAAAAUUGAAUUUAAUACGGGAGUUGUUCGCCAAACAAAAGUAGCGGGAACUAAAGUAAGAUGAUACAGAAACAAG